rnacentral:rRNA from 1 species
GACGAACGUUGGCGGCGUGCUUAAUACAUGCAAGUCAACUGAAGCAGUGGUAGCAAUAUCGCUGUGGAGGUGGCGCACGGGUGAGUAACACGUAGGUAAUCUGCCUUCAGGUCUGGCAUAACUCCGGGAAACCGGGGCUAAUAGCAGAUGAUGCAGCGGCUCGACAUCGAGACAGUUGUUAAAGCUAUGGCGCCUGAAGAUGAGCCUGCGUCUGAUUAGCUAGUUGGCGGGGUAACGGCCCACCAAGGCAACGAUCAGUAGCUGGUCUGAGAGGAUGAUCAGCCACACUGGAACUGAGACACGGUCCAGACUCCUACGGGAGGCAGCAGUAAGGAAUAUUGCUCAAUGGGAGAAAUCCUGAAGCAGCAACGCCGCGUGAGGGACGAAGGGCAUUUGCUUGUAAACCUCUGUAGUGAGAGAAAAAAAUCCCAAUCUUUGGGACAUGAUGGUAUCUCAAAAGUAAGCCCCGGCUAACUACGUG